rnacentral:ncRNA from 1 species
AGAAAUGCAGUGAUGGGAAGAGUAACCUAGGAAUUUAUCUAAAGAGAGCCGGGAUUUGGUGAAACCUGGUGAUAAUGAACUAUGUGAACAUGGCCCCUGAGUAGGUUGUCUGAAUAAUUAGGAUAACCCGUGAGAGUCGACGUUAAAAGACAGAGUGAUAAUGGUCACUUACAAAGGUUUCUUUAGUGAUGAAGAAAUAAAUUAGAGUGGUACAGCGAUAAUACGCCUCUAAA